GACGAACGCUGGCGGCGUGCUUAACACAUGCAAGUCGAGCGGUAAGGCUCCUUCGGGAGUACACGAGCGGCGAACGGGUGAGUAACACGUGAGUAAUCUGCCCUUCACUUCGGGAUAACCACCGGAAACGGUGGCUAAUACCGAAUACGACCAGUCUUCGCAUGAGGUGCUGGUGGAAAGUCUUUUCGGUGAAGGAUGUGCUCGCGGCCUAUCAGCUUGUUGGUGGGGUAAUGGCCUACCAAGGCUUCGACGGGUAGCCGGCCUGAGAGGGUGACCGGCCAGACUGGGACUGAGACACGGCCCAGACUCCUACGGGGGGCAGCAGUGGGGAAUAUUGGACAAUGGGCGAAAGCCUGAUCCAGCAGCGCCGCGUGAGGGAUGACGGCCUUCGGGUUGUAAACCUCUUUCAGUACCGACGAAGCGCCCUGUCGGGUGGUGACGGUAGGUACAGAAGAAGGACCGGCCAACUACGUG
rnacentral:rRNA from 1 species